ensembl:snoRNA
AUCUUUUUGUGGUUCAUAAGCAUGAUGAUAGGGUCUUCACACAAACAUUUAAGAUGUGCCUCCCUCUCAUCUUAUUAUAAUGUCAGCAUAUUUCCUGUCUGAAG